GAUGAACGCUAGCGGCAGGCCUAAUACAUGCAAGUCGAACGCUCAGUAGCAAUACUGGGAGUGGCGCACGGAGCGUAACGCGUACACAAUCUACCUCUAAGCGGGGGACACCUCCUGGAAACGGGGAUUAAUACCGCAUAAUAUGCCGAGGUCGCAUGACUUUGGUAUUAAAGCAGCAAUGCACUUAGAGAUGAGUGUGCGUCCCAUUAGGUAGUUGGUGAGGUAACGGCUCACCAAGCCUAUGAUGGGUAGCCGGUCUGAGAGGAUGGUCGGCCACACGGGCACUGAGACGCGGGCCCGACUCCUACGGGAGGCAGCAGUAAGGAAUAUUGGUCAAUGGUGGAAACACUGAACCAGCCAUGCCGCGUGGAGGAAUAAGGUCCUACGGAUUGUAAACUCCUUUUGUACGAGGAAGAAAGUAGUUAGAUUUAUCUAAUUUUGACGGUACUCGUAGAAUAAGCACCGGCUAACUCCGUGCCAGCAGCCGCGGUAA
rnacentral:rRNA from 1 species